CGGACGGGUGAGUAAUGUCUGGGAAACUGCCCGAUGGAGGGGGAUAACUACUGGAAACGGUAGCUAAUACCGCAUAAUGUCUGCGGACCAAAGCGGGGGACCUCCGGGCCUCGCGCCAUCAGAUGAACCCAUAUGGGAUUAGCUAGUAGGUAAGGUAACGGCUUACCUAGGCGACGAUCCCUAGCUGGUCUGAGAGGAUGACCAGCCACACUGGAACUGAGACACGGUCCAG
rnacentral:rRNA from 1 species